CCUACGGGAGGCAGCAGUGGGGAAUAUUGCACAAUGGGGGAAACCCUGAUGCAGCGACGCCGCGUGAGUGAAGAAGUAUCUCGGUAUGUAAAGCUCUAUCAGCAGGGAAGAAGAAAGACGGUACCUGACUAAGAAGCACCGGCUAACUACGUGCCAGCAGCCGCGGUAAGACGUAGGGGGCAAGCGUUAUCCGGAUUUACUGGGUGUAAAGGGCGUGUAGGCGGGGACGCAAGUCAGAUGUGAAAACCACGGGCUCAACCUGUGGCCUGCAUUUGAAACUGUGUUUCUUGAGUACUGGAGAGGCAGGCGGAAUUCCUAGUGUAGCGGUGAAAUGCGUAGAUAUUAGGAGGAACACCAGUGGCGAAGGCGGUCUGCUGGACAGCAACUGACGCUGAGGCGCGAAAGCGUGGGGAGCAAACAGGAUUAGAUACCCCAGUAGUC
rnacentral:rRNA from 1 species